GAGAGAGAUAUCUGCUGUCUGUGUUUACAUUUCGUGGUCGGUAGUUGACAUUUCGCUCGCUGUAGAUUUGCGUGUUUUUCAUGUAUUUUCCGGUCUCUAACGCCGCCAAUACAGUGGCGGCAGGCAGUGUGUGUGUGUGUGUGUGUGUGUGUGUGUGUGUGCGCGACAAAGAGAGACGGACAGAGAGAAGGGGGGAUGAACAUAAGGGCAGGAGGAGUAUUUUGGUCAGCACUGGUCAGUCUUGCCCCAUACACACACACACACACACACACACACACUAGUGACCAGUGUUUCCAUAUUCCCUGGAGCUUCCUCCUGCAUUAAACACCACCAAGCAUCAUCAAAGAGACACGACUGCUUAAUGACAGUGAUGGAAGCAGAAUGUUUUCCUCGGCAUUGGUCAGUCUUAACACACACACACACACACACACACACAGACACUAGUGACCAGUGCUUCCAUAUUCCCUGCAGCUUCCUCCUGCAUCAAACACCACCAAGCAUCACUAGAGAGACACGGCUACUUAAUGUAAUGUGAGUACAGCAAUGACUGCCUCGGUUAACAUCACCGCCUACACCAUAACACUCAACCCUUCCUCCUCCCUCCAGUAGCGUCUUUCAGUUCUUCAUUAUUAUUCGUUAUUAGGGUACUUUUUGAGAUUAUCGAUUUAUAUUUUACUUAUGUUUAUAUCUGAGUCGCGAUAUAGCUUGAAAUUUAGUAAAAAAUAAUGAAGGAUCGUCAAAAUGACAUCUGCGGUAGACAUAGGUCGUCCCUACUCAGCCAUUAUUUGCUUUAUUUAUCACGUAUUGUAAGCCAAACAUGUCACAAAAUGUAGCCUCAGUUCGAAUUUUCAUGUCCGCCUGUGAGGUAUAUCGCCAUUGCCUGGCUUUAGUGUGAUAACAGAGUAAUUGAGGCAAAUUAGCGGCCGCCAUGUUUGAUCUCUACAGGCCCCAGCCUGCUCUUCGGUUCCAAUAUAUUUUCGUUUUCCUUAACUCUUUAAGUUCGGUUUCUAAGUAAUUUUUUAUGGUUUGUAUAAAUGUUUCGUUGCUUAUGAAGUGGUUUUGAGGCUUUUGUUAAGGAAAUGUGUUGUAUUUGCUGUUGUUUAUAACGUAACUAUAGGCCUGUUUUUGGGCUGAAUUUUACGGAACCCCAUUGUUGGCUUUUUUAUUCGAGGCUAUAAUGAAGUUCUUUAUACUUUAAAAAAUCGCUUAUGAUUUUUAAACUGGUUUGCCGUCCUGUUGAGUUAAAUAUGUGGACUUUAAAAUGAUUUGUGGUCCUGUUAAAAGUCGAAAUGUUGACAUUUUUUAUUUCCUUAUUUCCUUAUUUGAGCUUUUAAGUAACUCUAGGUUAUUUGAAAAAAUAGUUCAGAUUUUUUAAAGUGCUUUGCAUUGCUAUUAAGUUAAAAUGGGUGGACUUUUCAAUGUUUUUUAUUCGUGUUUAGGUUCCAACACUUUUUUUUACAGAUUUAUUUUUCAUUCGUUUACUUCUGGUUCUAGGUAAGUUUUAAUUAAUUGAAAAGAUAGUUCAUAUUUUUAAAGUGUUUUUAUUUCUGUUAAGUGAAAAAAUAGGUAGACUUUUCAAUGGUUUUAAUGGGGUCAAAUGUUCCAACGUUUUUUUCAUAAUUCAUAUUGAUAUUUCUUUCAUACUACUGAGGCUGGAGAUGUUAUAAUAUUAUGAAUAUUUAUUAAAGUAAUUAUCAAGUCAGAAUAUAUAAUGCAUUCUAACCUAGCUCCAUUUUUUCUAUGGGUCAAUUUUAAAAUGAAAUACGUUACGCACGUAUCCUGGCGUGACGUCACGACCUCAGGUGUGACGUCAUCAGGGGGCCAGGGGGGGUCUCUGCCACAGACCCUUAUCUUCAAUAUUUCGAGUAAUUUCUAGUAUUUUUGACGUUUUUCCGUGUGUUUCUUAACUCAGGCAUGUAGAUAGUAGUUGUAGGAGGAAGAAAAAAGGAUAAAUAGGGAAGGAGGAGGAAAAAGAAAGGAGAAAUGAAGGAGGCAAAACAGGGAAAUCCUAAGACAACAAUAUUUAGCUUAGUUUUCUAUGCUGCCCUUUCUUUCUUUGUAAUAUUUUCUUUGCCUGAGAGUGUCAGACUUUUUAAUGUGUUUGGAUGCGUUUUUUAGGAGAUUGAGUGUGUUUGGCGUGUUUUGGGUGCAUUUUGGUUUGUUCGGGUUUGUUUUGUAGGUGUUUGAAUAUGUUCGUGGGUGUAUUUUUUGUGUGUUUGGAGGUGUUUUGAGUGUGUUCUGGUGGUUUUAGGGUAUUUUGGAAUGUUUUAGAUGAUCUUGGCUGCCCUUUAAAGUGAUUUUGGGUGUUUUGAGUGUGUUUUGGGGUGAGCUAGGGAGGCAGGAGGGAAUGGUUAGGUCAGGUUGUGGGCUGGUUAGGGAUUAUUUGGGUGUGGUUUGAGGUUAACUGAGGUAUUUUGAGACUGGUUAGGAUUUUUUAUGUGUGUAUUGGGGUGUUUUGUGUGUGUUUGCAUGUGUUUUAGGAUGUUUGGAGUGGUGUUUA